rnacentral:tRNA from 1 species
GUCCCGGUAGCUCAGUUGGCAGAGCAUAUGGCUGUUAACCAUAGGGUCAGAGGUUCGAGUCCUCUCCGGGACG